CCUACGGGUGGCAGCAGUGAGGAAUAUUGGUCAAUGGGCGCGAGCCUGAACCAGCCAAGUAGCGUGAAGGAUGACUGCCCUACGGGUUGUAAACUUCUUUUAUAAAGGAAUAAAGUGAGCCACGUGUGCCUUUUUGUAUGUACUUUAUGAAUAAGCAUCGGCUAACUCCGUGCCAGCAGCCGCGGUCAUACGGAGGAUCCGCGCGUUAUCCGGAUUUAUUGGGUUUAAAGGGAGCCUAGAAGGGUUUUUAAGUUCGUUGGGAAACUGUGGGGCUCAACCGUAAAAUUGCAAUUGAAACUGGAAGUCUUGAGUACAGUUGAGGUAGGCGGAAUUCGUGGUGUAGCGGUGAAAUGCUUAGAUAUCACGAAGAACUCCGAUUGCGAAGGCAGCUUACUAAACUGCCACUGACGUUGAUGCACGAAAGUGUGGGUAUCAAACAGGAUUAGAUACCCCAGUAGUC
rnacentral:rRNA from 1 species